rnacentral:rRNA from 1 species
GCUCAACCGAGGAAGUGCUUCGAAAACUGGUAAACUUGAGUGCAGAAGAGGAAAGUGGAACUCCAUGUGUAGCGGUGGAAUGCGUAGAUAUAUGGAAGAACACCAGUGGCGAAGGCGGCUUUCUGGUCUGUAACUGACGCUGAGAUUCGAAAGCAUGGGUAGCAAACAGGAUUAGAUACCCUGGUAGUCCAUGCCGUAAACGAUGAGUGCUAAGUGUUGGAGGGUUUCCGCCCUUCAGUGCUGCAGCUAACGCAUUAAGCACUCCGCCUGGGGAGUACGAUCGCAAGAUUGAAACUCAAAGGAAUUGACGGGGGCCCGCACAAGCGGUGGAGCAUGUGGUUUAAUUCGAAGCAACGCGAAGAACCUUACCAGGUCUUGACAUACCAUGAAAAGCUAAGAGAUUAGUCUUUCCCUUCGGGGACAUGGAUACAGGUGGUGCAUGGUUGUCGUCAGCUCGUGUCGUGAGAUGUUGGGUUAAGUCCCGCAACGAGUGCAACCCUUAUUAUCAGUUGCCAGCAUUCAGUUGGGCACUCUGGUGAGACUGCCGGUGACAAACCGGAGGAAGGUGGGGACGACGUCAAAUCAUCAUGCCCCUUAUGACCUGGGCUACACACGUGCUACAAUGGUCGGUACAGCG